GACAGAGGGUGCAAACGUUGUUCGGAUUUACUGGGCGUAAAGCGCGUGUAGGCGGCUUUGCAAGUCGGAUGUGAAAUCCCACGGCUCAACCGUGGAACUGCUGGGUAUACUGGUUGUCUUGAGCCAGCUAGGGGCGAGCGGAACAGACGGUGGAGCGGUGAAAUGCGUAGAUAUCGUCUGGAACGCCGAAGGUGAAAACAGCUCGCUGGGGCUGCGCUGACGCUGAGACACGAAAGCCAGGGGAGCGAACGGG
rnacentral:rRNA from 1 species